UCACUCGUAGCUUAGUGGUCACAGCAUUGGUGCGUAAAGUCAAAGGCCCGGGUUCAAUUCCCGGCGAGGGUG
rnacentral:tRNA from 1 species